GAUAGAUGGAUAGAUAGGGAGAGAGAGAAGGCCUUUGCAGAAGCAGGAGUCUCUGGCUGUCCUGUCUAGUCAGUUGGAGGCUAAUGGAUAAGCAGGUCACUCAGCGUGGCCAUCAGAAGAGAAGGGUACAGACCCUUUCACCAAAGAAGUGACAGCCACCUAAGGAGGUGACACUAUUUGUGACCCAAGAUGCCAAGCAGUUUCCCAGACGAGUCAUCGCAGGGGUCUGGAGAGAGAGCUCAGCCGCUUAGGGUACCACCGUGCAUGCCUGAUGCCCCAGAGGCUGCAGGUUCAAUCCUGCAAGCACCUCCUGCCUAAGCUGAGCCAUGCUCUGGUCUCUCUUUCCUUCCAUUCUUACAAUGGAUGAGUUAAGUAUUUUAAAAAGAAGACAAAGGAACUGGGAGAAGAAAAAGGUCAUCAUUACAAUAACGCAGAGGUAAGGCAGAAGGUCUGGGAUUUCUAACUGGGUCUGGGCCUCCGUUUCACCUUCUGCUCAUGCAGCCUGCCUCACGGGUCACCAAAAAGAAGGAAGCAGGGCACCCUGCCAACCCCCGUCCCUGGUCCCUGUCCCCACCUGUCUGCAGAGCCGCUUGUCCCAGGCAGUGACCAGCCCCAGGUGGGCGCAGAGCUCAGGAGCUGCAGGAGCAAGGGCUGGCCUCCAGGGGGCAGCACAAGCAGGGAAAAGCACCAGGCUGCCGGGCUAGGAGCAAAGCAGCCAGAAGGCGAUUCCGGGGAGCCGGCCUGGGGCUGGUCUGCGUGGCUGUGAGACUGGUGGGGGGCCACAGAGGGGCCCGGAUUAGGAAGCCUGACCACCUCUUGCAUUCCUUCCUCCCUGGUCAGCCUUUCUCACUCCCAUGAACAGCGGCUGCAGGGCCCCAGAGCUGGGGGACUCAGGGCACCAUAGCCCACCCUCCGGAGAGCAGGAGGCCAGAGAGGCUGGGGGUCCCCCGAGGCCCAGACACCCCAUCUCUCAAGGUCUCUGGGUCAGACACUUAACCCUUUUGGUCAAGGGGCCGUGGCCUCCUGUGAUGGUCUCUCCCUUGUGCUGGCAACAGGUCCUUAGGGGAGCAGGUCCCUUAAGCAGAGGGGAGGGAAGGCCCAACUGCCCCCUGGGCGAUGGCUGCCCUGCUGGGGACAGAUGGCCUCCAGACAGACCCACUGCCAUACCCUACCCCACCCCCAGAGAAAGGCUUUCUAGUAGAAAGCUGUUCCCUGUGUCUUUCCCUCCACAGCCCUCUGUCCUGGCUCCCUGCACAUGGUGACCUGGACUGAGGCUCAGAGUGACUGCCUGAGGACACACAGCAGACUGGACUGAGGCAAAGCUGGAGCUCCAGGCCUCCUGGUUCUGAAGCUGGCCACUCCGUCAGCCCCUUGAUAGGGAGAAGGAACUUACUGAUGGCAUCUGAGAUCACUGUGACACCCCAUUUCUGCCUGGAGGCCUGAGGCACUGGGAGAUGGUGUGGCCCACUCCCCAAGGUUUGCAUGUCCCACUGAGCCAGAGAGAGGCACCAGGAGACUCUGGAGCUAGCUGUACGCUUUAAAUACUAAGAGAAUCAAAAAAGUGA